rnacentral:rRNA from 1 species
GAUGAACGCUGGCUACAGGCUUAACACAUGCAAGUCGAGGGGAAACGACGGGGAAGCUUGCUUCCCCGGGCGUCGACCGGCGCACGGGUGAGUAACGCGUAUCCAACCUGCCUCUGACUGAGGGAUAACCCGUCGAAAGUCGGCCUAAUACCUCAUGGCAUCGUCUGCGGGCAUCCAGCGACGAUUAAAGAUUUCAUCGGUCAGGGAUGGGGAUGCGUCUGAUUAGCUUGUUGGCGGGGUAACGGCCCACCAAGGCUACGAUCAGUAGGGGUUCUGAGAGGAAGGUCCCCCACAUUGGAACUGAGACACGGUCCAAACUCCUACGGGAGGCAGCAGUGAGGAAUAUUGGUCAAUGGGCGGGAGCCUGAACCAGCCAAGUAGCGUGCAGGAUGACGGCCCUAUGGGUUGUAAACUGCUUUUAUGCGGGGAUAAAGUGGGGGACGUGUCCUUCAUUGCAGGUACCGCAUGAAUAAGGACCGGCUAAUUCCGUG